rnacentral:rRNA from 1 species
UACGAAGGGGGCUAGCGUUGCUCGGAAUUACUGGGCGUAAAGGGCGCGUAGGCGGGUCGUUUAGUUAGAGGUGAAAGCCCAGGGCUCAACCCUGGAAUUGCCUUUAAUACUGGCGGCCUUGAGUAUGGCAGAGGUGUGUGGAACUCCGAGUGUAGAGGUGAAAUUCGUAGAUAUUCGGAAGAACACCAGUGGCGAAGGCGACACACUGGGCCAUUACUGACGCUGAGGCGCGAAAGCGUGGGGAGCAAACAGGG